rnacentral:rRNA from 1 species
GAUGAACGCUGGCGGCGUGCCUAAUACAUGCAAGUCGAGCGAACAGACGAGGAGCUUGCUCCUCUGACGUUAGCGGCGGACGGGUGAGUAACACGUGGAUAACCUACCUAUAAGACUGGGAUAACUUCGGGAAACCGGAGCUAAUACCGGAUAAUAUAUUGAACCGCAUGGUUCAAUAGUGAAAGACGGUUUUGCUGUCACUUAUAGAUGGAUCCGCGCCGCAUUAGCUAGUUGGUAAGGUAAUGGCUUACCAAGGCGACGAUGCGUAGCCGACCUGAGAGGGUGAUCGGCCACACUGGAACUGAGACACGGUCCAGACUCCUACGGGAGGCAGCAGUAGGGAAUCUUCCGCAAUGGGCGAAAGCGUGACGGAGCAACGCCGCGUGAGUGAUGAAGGUCUUCGGAUCGUAAAACUCUGUUAUUAGGGAAGAACAAAUGUGUAAGUAACUAUGCACGUCUUGACGGUACCUAAUCAGAAAGCCACGGCUAACUACGUG